UCUCCCACCCCCUCAUAAAGACCCCCUUCCCCACAGAAUAGCUUUGUCUUAAAUGCCCCACUGGCGUCGUUUUGAGUACUUGUCGUUAACGAUUGUCCUCCACUAUCGGUCUCUGUGAAGAUCGAGCCACAAAAGAACAUUAACGAGAGUUCCAAUCAUUAUUAUCUUUAACUUCUCCCAUUCUUCUGAACUUUCCUGAGGCCGGCACGGUCUGUGUUCCUAAGCAAUAGCUCCAUUGCGGACGGUCAGAGUAAAUACCACCUAUCUGAUGAUCCGCUAAUAACAUCCAAGACUGCAUGAUUACUUUUACAUUCAAGUCUGUUGAUAUUUUGUUAUUAAAAACGAUGAAUUAUUAAUCUACGAGUCCCUCCUAACCCUUUACACUCGUAAAAGUCCCCACCACCCCCCCUCCAGGCCCAGUCUAACACCCUGUCCCCUCACUGGCCUUCCAUCUCUAUCUCACUCCAACCCCGUCUUUCUCCGCGUCUCCUCCUCCACUGGCUUAAUGAACCCCAUCCCCCACCACCAGUCUUCCUCCCUCUAAACCCUCAUCAUAAAGACCACCCCCAGCCUCUCCCACGACACAUCUCUCUCUCUGUCGCUAUUUUUAACGCGAUAACUUGUGUACAUAUAAAUGUACACACAGCGCAGAGCCAUAGUGUAUUGAGAACACAAAUUGCGGUUAAGUGGUAGCCUUAUGUUAUAAGGUACCACAAUUUUCAGCCGGACAGAUAGAACUCAAAGAAGUUUCUGUAGUCGGCUGAUACGUAUGUAGUAUGCACCGCAGCCAUAUUUGUAGUUCUUGGUAGUGCCCCCUACUCGUUAACACGAGAUUAUUCCCAAUUAUAUCUCAACAUCUCCAAAUGUACCACAAAUAUAUAACUAUUAUGAGUCCCAACUAGACGACCCCCAGCUUUCCAAGUAGCCGAUCUCUUGCAUUCGUACUAAAUUUGUUCUCUUUUCUCGUCAGGCCUUGGCAACCCGAGCAGUAAUGGAUGCCCGACAUUCAUCAUUUUUAAUCGUUAUCAUUACUACAAAUAUUCUCUUUUCUAAUCAGGGAGUGGCAACACAACGAUCACUUGCCCACGAUCAUCAUUUUACUUCUGUGCAUAAAAUAUUAAUUCUCUUUUCUCUUUAGGAGGUGGCAACACAAGCACAAAGGUGGCAACACAAGCAUUAUGGUUGCCAAACACUCAUCUUUUUACUUCUCUGCAUUGAUCUUAAUUCUUUCUCUCUCCAGGAAAUGGCAGUAUAAGAACGAAUGCCAAACACAGACAGUAAUUAUUAUUUUUUUCAGGUUGCUGAGCGCUUCUGUCUAUUCAACAUGCGUUUUGUGUAGCAAGACAGGUAGAGAACCAGGCUGGUUCAAAUAGACACGGGGUUCAACUACUAGAAUAAUAUGUCUAAUUAAUAAAUGGUACACAUGGUUUUAAACGGCGCCCAAGGAGGGAGUUAGCUCAACUGCGGUAGCACAAUUACAAUACGUUUUUUGCGAAUAUUAAAGGUACAUGGGUUAAAUUCUACAAUAAUCAGCUACUACAGACGAAUAGACUGAAUAACACUGCGUGAGGUGUUCAAAGGUCAACUAUUGCUUCCAUUGGAGCGAUUGCAAUAGAUAUAAUAUCAUACCACCAAUAU
ensembl:lncRNA